CCGAGGGGGUCAAAAGACCUGCUAACUCUUUAAUCUGGCAAAAUACCAGCCCUCUUU
rnacentral:tRNA from 1 species